GUCCUGGCUCAGGAUGAACGCUAGCUACAGGCUUAACACAUGCAAGUCGAGGGGCAGCGGGAUUGAAGCUUGCUUCAAUUGCCGGCGACCGGCGCACGGGUGAGUAACGCGUAUCCAACCUUCCGUACACUCAGGGACAGCCUUUCGAAAGAAAGAUUAAUACCUGAUGGUAUGAUGAGAUUGCAUGAUAUCAUCAUUAAAGAUUUAUCGGUGUACGAUGGGGAUGCGUU
rnacentral:rRNA from 1 species